rnacentral:rRNA from 1 species
AUUGAACGCUGGCGGCAGGCCUAACACAUGCAAGUCGAACGAGUGGCGGACGGGUGAGUAAUGUCUGGGAAACUGCCCGAUGGAGGGGGAUAACUACUGGAAACGGUAGCUAAUACCGCAUACCAUCGGAUGUGCCCAGAUGGGAUUAGCUUGUAGGUGAGGUAACGGCUCACCUAGGCGACGAUCCCUAGCUGGUCUGAGAGGAUGACCAGCAAAACGGGAACUAGGACACGGGCCAGACGCCUACGUGAGGCAGCAGGGGGGAAUAUUGCACAAUGGGGGCAAGCCUGAUGCAUCCAGGCCGCGGGUAUGAAGAAGGCCUUCGGGUUGUAAAGUACUUUCAGCGGGGAGGCGUUACCCGCAGAAGAAGCACCGGCUAACUCCGUGCCAGCAGCCGCGGUAAUUC